AGGUUCCCUCUACAAGCAACUGGAGAGAGGAAGAUUCUUUAGAGGUUAAUCCAAGGAAGAUUAUGUUUAAAUUCCUUAGUAGUAUAGUCUCAGCAGAGGCUGCCCCACCAUGCACUCCUGCGCCCUUUGUGCCUUCAUCACUCUGGACACACCACCGUGUCCUACCCUGGAAAAGCCCAACUCCUAAGAUCUCCAGAACCUCACCCUUUUGAUUCAGAAGCACGUGACCUUUGAAGGAUGAAUGGGAAGGUGUUGGAAAGCAGUCAUCUUCUACUCUGUGGCUACCAUCACCCUUACUGAUGAGCCUUGCAGUGGUGUCAGCCUGCAAGGCCAGCUCUGAGAAACAAUGGCUCCAAACUUUUCAGAGCCUAAAUUGCCCACAGAAUCCUGUCCCUGAUAGG